CAGAAUCUCAGACGUUGCACAGAUUCGGAUCGAUAUGUCUAAACAAGAGAUAUAUCAAAUGCAAGGCUAGAACAAUUCAAAGUGCCUCAUAUUCAAAUCAAAUGUAGAGAUAGAAUUACAGUAAGGAAAGAUCAAGACACUUGCAAUAGGAAAGAUUAGAACAAUAACAGGAGAAACGAUCGGGAAACUUGCAAUAGGAAAGAAUUGAAAGCUUGCAAUAGUAAGGAUCGGAACAUUUGCAAUAAGAAAAAAUAACACUUGCAGGAGAAAAGAUCGGGACACUUGCAAUAGAAAGGAUCGAAACAUUUGCAAUAGAAAGGAUCGAAACACUUGCAAUAGGAAAGAUAAGAACACUUGCACGAGGAAGAUCAUAAUACUUGUAAUAAGAAAAAUUAGAACAAUUACAGGAGAAACGAUCGGGAAACUUUCCUUUUGAUGGUUUUGGUCCAAAGAUUCGAAGAAGGUGUACGCUCGAAUCCUUUUUCUACUUUUCCUCCGUCCCCUCCCUGUUUCGUUUUGUGCACUCGUUUUCUUUCUUUCUUCGCAACUAUACCACGUGCCGAAUAUCGAGGCACAGUCACCUUCUCUCUCUUACUCUUAUUCCUUCUUUUUCCUUCCCAAACACAGCUGCCACAGCCACCGCCGCUGCCACAGUCGCAGCCCCUUCCACUGCACUACCUUCCUUCCUCCCUUCUCUCGUUCCUACUUUUUCUUUCCCAAACACAGUUGCCGCAGACGCAGCCGCC
rnacentral:lncRNA from 1 species